rnacentral:rRNA from 1 species
AGAGUUGAUCAUGGCUCAGAUUGAACGCUGGCGGCAUGCUUUACACAUGCAAGUCGAACGGCAGCACAGGGGAGCUUGCUCCCGGGUGGCGAGUGGCGCACGGGUGAGUAAUACAUCGGAACGUGUCCUGUUGUGGGGGAUAACUGCUCGAAAGGGUGGCUAAUACCGCAUGAGACCUGAGGGUGAAAGCGGGGGAUCGCAAGACCUCGCGCAAUUGGAGCGGCCGAUGCCCGAUUAGCUAGUUGGUGAGGUAAAGGCUCACCAAGGCGACGAUCGGUAGCUGGUCUGAGAGGACGACCAGCCACACUGGGACUGAGACACGGCCCAGACUCAUACGGGAGGCAGCA